UUCGAUCUGUGCAUUUCUUUCUUCUUCGUUUAUUUCUAUCUUUGUUCUUUUUUUUUCUUUUUAAUUGUUAAUAGUGGAAUAAUUUCUGCACUUGAGAAUCGGAGUUUCUUUCGUAGAAUAGAGAAAAACAGGUAGGAAAUAGAGGGAAUCCCGAAUAAAAUUUAAGCGAGAAUAUUAAAGCAAUACAUACGAUUUCAUUUCCAUGUAGCAAAUUCAAACUUUGAAUAGCAUAUAUUAAUAUAUUAAUAAAUAUAUAUUUAGUCGCUUAUAAUUAAUUUAAUAAAUAACAAUAAUAUAAUUAAUAAUGUUUUACACAUACAUACACAUAUAUAUGUUCCAAUAUUAAGUUUAAUUUAUACUUCAUUCUAAUUAUACUUCUUGUUUCGAGCUUUUUAAACGAUUUUCCUUUUUAUUUUUUCAAUUUCUUCUUCCAAAGAUCGUUUGUACAUAUAAAUAUGUGGAUAUUAGAAACGAGAAUUUAUUUAAAUAAAUGUAAGGUACAAAGUGAAAUUGUAAAAAGUGAGAUAAUUACAGUAAUUUGGAAUAUUGAAAAACUUGUCACGAGUUAUUCAAUCAUUGAAGAAAUUACCACAUUCGUGAGUGAAUGUUACUUCUUUCACCAUAAGUGAUACGUAAACAGAUUACGCAAGAAUAUCUAAAAUUAUUCGGAUAUUUUCUUAUGUAUUCCUGUCAUAAAUCAGAAAAUUAUAAAUUAUUUUCAUAAAUACACUGAUAUCAUAAUAACAUUAAUUGUAAUUAUCCUUAAUGGACAGUUUUAUGCUAUUAAAAUUAUAUAUAAAAUUAUAUAUAAUUACAAUUUUAUUCAUAGUUUUCAAUAGUAAAAAUUUUCAAUAAUUCCCAAAAAUUUAUGCUUAUUGUUUGAACUCGAUUCCAUUCAUAUUUUCUAUAUUUUUUCUAUAUACGAUUUAUUAUUUCUUUCCAUUAUUCUCUAUUCUUCUUUCCAUUAUUCUAUUUUAUUUAAUAUAAAAAAUUUAGUUCAUUAUAUCCAAAUGAUUUUUUUCUGUAUAUAUAUUCAAUCAAAGAUAAUAUUAAAUAUAUUAUCCAUAUUAAAUAAAAAUUCGUUCCUUCGAGCACAUCCGCUUUAAAACAGUUUACCACCUUCUUCGAGGACGACGUUCGCACACCUUCGAGUAUCCAAUUUCGUCCCUUGUCACCCAGUCUGCAUUCAGAAUGAAGCUUGAACGGCGAACUUUUUAACGGCCGUGGAAAAUGGUCGAAACCAGCAGCCGCCCAAUCGAGGAAUUUUUGCGAAAGUUGACGAGUGAAAUUCUUAUGGAACGAACUCCAGUAUGGACGAAACUCCAGCAGCGACGAUUAUAAUUGGCAAGCUGAUUGACGUGGCAGGGAAUACGAUAUACACAUACGACCGCUUCCGUUCACGCUUUCAGGCCAGUUUUACCUUCGGGUGAAAAAAAAGUGAAAGGCCCGGUUAAUCGGAUCUGGUCCUCGUAUCACGAGUUUCGGCCAAUUUGACCCAUGGCUGCCUUUUCGACCAACGAAGUUGAAUGCCGGUUUUUCAGUGUGUGUUUCUUGUUUCAAACGUUGAAGGAUUUCUAUGAAUAAUUCGAUCGAACCGAAUUUCGAGAUUUUUGCGUAGAAUUGAUUUUUGAUUGGUUGAUGAUACGGUAUUCAAAUCUGCUAUUGAAAAAUUCUAGUACUUCAAUAUUCCAUAGUUCACUCAUUAUAUAAUUUGAAGAAUUUUAAUAUGACAUAUAAAUUAUCUAAAGUUUCUAAAAUAGCAUUCAAAUGCUUCACUAAUAUUUAAAUAUUCUAUUAUUCAAAUAUUCUAUUACUUAAUAAUUUUAUUCUUCGAGUUUUAUUGAUUAAACAUUUUUGUACUUUAUUAUUCGAUAUCUUAUUAUUACAAUUAACUUUCUAUUAUUUCAAUGAAAUAAUAUUUCAUUGUUAACUUUUUAUUAUAUAUAUUCCAAGUUUUAUUAUGCUAAUGUUUCAUUUAUUAUUAUUCGAAUAUUCCGUCAUCCAGAUAUUGUAUUCAAAUUUAUUAUUGGAAUGUUCCAUUAUUUUUUAAUAUUUGAAAGACUAUAUCUAAUAUUCAGUAUUGUUAAAAAUAAUAUAGGAUUAAAAAAUGUUGAAUUUAUAUUACACUUUAUUGUAUCGUUACAAUAUUUCUAUUUUGCUAUAAUAUGAAAUAAUUGUCAUAAGGAGGAUAUAUCAUCCUCUAUGAAAAUUACUUUAUUCCAUCGAAUAUGUCUUCCUUAAUUCCAUUAAUUCAGAUAAAAGUUGGGAUGAAAGUUCCAUUACAGUUAAAUUGUGGCUUCGUGAUGGAUAAUUGAGGUAAAAGUAAGUAUAAAGUAUGUGGAUUAUUUUAGUAUGUGAAAAAAUUCAUAUAUAUCAUGCACUGAUAUCUGAAUACUUUUGUAAAUCACGUGUAUAAUGAAAUUUAUUUAUUUAUUAUUUUAUUAUCUAUUACUCUAUAUCAAAUAUUUAAAGAAAUACAUGAUUCAUAAAUUAAAUAUUCGAAGAAAGAAAUAAAAAUUAAUUUUAUAUCUGAAAAAAAUAAAAUUUUAUUAGAACCAUUUCAUCAAAAAUCCUCGUUUUAAUAAUACAUUAAAUCUAUGAAAAAUAUUCUUUAUAUAAGAAGUUUUAAACACGAAGAAAAUCUAAUAAAGACGAGCAAUAAACAAAUGUAUAAAGAGAAAUAUUAGAUACAACAAGAAAUUAUAAAUUUUUUAUACUUUUCAAAAUAUUUAAAAUUUAUUAGCUAAUACAUAUAUAUAUAUAUAUAAUAAUGUAGAGAGACAUUUUAACGAUAUAUGUUUUUUUUCGUUGCUUCAAAAAAUAGCCAUAUUCAGGAAGAUAUUAAAAAUUUCCAAAUUUAGCAUCUUGAGAAAUUAGGAUCAAAAAUCCUAAAGCAGAAACUUUUAUUUGUUCAUUGUUGGAGAUGGACCUGUUUGAAACAAAAAUAAAUUAAU